rnacentral:rRNA from 1 species
CCUACGGGUGGCAGCAGUGAGGAAUAUUGGUCAAUGGGCGCGAGCCUGAACCAGCCAAGUAGCGUGAAGGAUGACUGCCCUACGGGUUGUAAACUUCUUUUAUAAAGGAAUAAAGUGAGGCACGUGUGCCUUUUUGUAUGUAUUUUAUGAAUAAGGAUCGGCUAACUCCGUGCCAGCAGCCGCGGUAAUACGGAGGAUCCGAGCGUUAUCCGGAUUUAUUGGGUUUAAAGGGAGCGUAGAUGGGUUGUUAAGUCAGUUGUGAAAGGUUGCGGCUCAACCGUAAAAUUGCAAUUGAUACUGGCAGAGUUGAGUAGAGUUGAGGGAGGCGGAAUUCGUGGUGUAGCGGUGAAAUGCUUAGAUAUCACGAAGAACUCCGAUUGCGAACGGAGCCUACUAAACUGCCACUGACAGCGAUGCUCGAAAGUGUGGGUAUCAAACAGGAUUAGAGACUACUC